CUGAACCACACACCUGGUCAGGACCCAGGAGAACCGUUAAACACACAGGAACGUACAGAGAAUAGUGGGCCCCGUUGUGGAAAGAGCCCUGUGGUAGGAAGCGAACAUUCUUCCCUCCAAGCCGCCUUCUUGAACUAUUGCCAGUGAACUAAAGGUCAGGGAGCUAUGAUCUUGCACAAGUUACUGACCUUCAGUGCCCUCGGUUUGCUCAUCCGCAGAGGACCUCUGAGGGUCAUAAUCAGGCCAACGUUUUUCUCAACUACAGUUAGCUGGUACAUUUCAAUCAAUGAAAUGAAGUGGACACACUAGGAAAACUGACGGAAAAAAAACAGCAACUGAGGACUUAAAAACCAUCAUCAACAAUUUGACUUGGUCACAAUAGGCCACAGGUGGCAAACACAAGGCCCUAGGGCCGAAUCCAGCCCUCCACCUUGUUUUAUCCAGCCCGGCACCUUGUUUCUACCCGGCGGCAGUGCUGAGCUCUCCCUUAACUGUUAAGGGGCAGUUACAUUUAUACAGUCCUAAAAUUACAUUCGGCCCUUUGAAGGCAACCUCGAGGCUGAUGUGGCCCCCAGUGAAAAUGAGUCUAACGUCCGUAAAAUAGCCUGUCAAAUAAAAUUAACUGAAUUCAUCAGAAAAUAAUUUUGUUUUAACUUAUGCAGAGACACUGCCUUACUUCAAAGUAACUUGAAUUAUGUAACCCCAUAGAUUUCUUCUCCUAGUUAUGGGUAUAACCUUGGAUGGAGGCUCUUUAGCCAAAUAUAAGGAGCAUGUUAUCCAGAAUCCAACUAUUCAGGUUUAAAUCUUACUCUUUCACUAACUAGUUGUGUAACUAUGGGCAAGUGACUUCUCUGCUUUGAUUUCUUUAUCUAUAAAAUGUGGGUAGUAGAAGUACCUCUCUUAUAAGUAAAUACCUUAAAGUUCUUAGUGCCUGGUACAUCCUCAGUCCUCAAUAAAUGUUAGUGAGGCUGCAUCCACCCAAGCCACCAUUCCUGACCAACAAAGAAAAUUUUUGUAUUUUUCAAUAAAUCACCAUCACCCUUCAUCACCCACCUCUGCAAGCUCACGAGUCACUAUAUUUUUUAUAGAUCACACGCACCGGUGGAGACAGUUAAAUUUUCAAGGCAGCCCAACAGAGAAACCAUAACUUCCAUGUAUUUCUAGAACACUUUCUUCAAGUUCGUACUUCUCCGGUUGCAAAUCAAUCAGCCCAUGCUGGGUCUUUACUGCUCUCCUGAGAGCUGCUCAGAAAUUCUGUCUCCUGGCAAGAGAAGCAGUCCACCUCUUCAGUAUUUUUUUCCCUGCAAGGUCAUAUCUAUUUGUGGUUUUAGAAAUGUAUAUGAAUACUGAAAAGUAGAAGUCUUUCUCUUUUAACAAGAUACCUCAGCCCACAACUCCCAUACCACAGGCCUUAGCAGCUUUCACUUCCACUAUUCAUAACUGGCGACGUGAGCAAAGAUCAAGCGCUCUCUGUCUCCAUGAUCACUGCAACGGUUAUAAUAUUUUCAUAAGAAAAAUUUAUAAGUGGGUUUCACUAAAUGCAAAAGUUCCCCAAAUUCCUUCACGUAUGCCAAAUGUGGAAAGAAAAUUAGUUACCUUCAGAAAAGGACUCUUCAAAAAAAUUUUCUGCUGUGAAGACUAGCCAGAGUAGUUUGAAACUAAAAGAAUAUACCUGAGGCUUAUUUGCUUUAAAUUAUAGAUAGGUUCGUAUUUAUGGUUCGAUAAAUCACUCUGGAAGUUUCUCAGCAGCUUUCAGAAAAACAGUUUCUCAAGUGCUUAUGUAAAAUGAUUGAGGCAAAAUGGAUUUUUUUUACACAAAAUGUUAAUUCUGGUUCAUGUAUUAAAGCAUGUGUUUUGGGAAAUACAUAAUGUGACAUUGUAUCCUUCUUAGUUUGUUGUAAGCAGGAGACAGUGGGUUAAUUCACCAACUUAGAAAACUUUGCCUGGAUCACAGUUGGCCAAGAAAAAAGGUUCCUUUUACCUCACAAGCCAACAGACAGACCUUCUCAGGGAAGUUGCGUGUGUGGGAGUGUGUUUGGAGGCCUUGUGGAGAAUGAGAACGUUAUUACAAUAAGCCUUUUUAUUAGCACUCUAUUUAAUAAAUUCUCUUGCUUUUCCCUUCGAAUUAAAAGGCUUUUCCACUUAG